AGUGGGUGUAGCGUACCUACUAGCCUACGACGGGUACGGGUUGUGAGAGCAAGAGCCCGGAGAUGGAUUCUGAGACACGAAUCCAGGCCCUACGGGGUGCAGCAGGCGCGAAAACUUUACAAUGCUGGCAACAGCGAUAAGGGAACCUCGAGUGCCAGGUUACAAAUCUGGCUGUCGAGAUGCCUAAAAAGCAUUUCAUAGCAAGGGCCGGGCAAGACCGGUGCCAGCCGCCGCGGUAACACCGGCGGCUCGAGUGGUAACCGCUAUUAUUGGGUCUAAAGGGUCUGUAGCCGGCCGACUAAGUCUCUUGGGAAAUCUGGCAUCUCAAGUGUCAGGCUGCCAGGGGAUACUGGUCGGCUUGGGACCGGGAGAGGUGAGAGGUACCUCGGGGGUAGGGGUGAAAUCUUGUAAUCCUCGAGGGACCACCAGUGGCGAAGGCGUCUCACCAGAACGGAUCCGACGGCAAGGGACGAAAGCUAGGGGCACGAACCGGAUUAGAU
rnacentral:rRNA from 1 species